rnacentral:lncRNA from 1 species
AUCUGAUGUUUGUGUCCUUUUAAUUAAACCAGGAGGUUUGGAAUAGAAACGUCCUUGUUUUCGCUGAGAACCCAGACUGAGAAAAACCGGAGCGGGAGCGUGUGCUAUCAUCACUGGAAGGACAGACAAGUAAAAGUAAUUGCUUCAGGAUGUCUUAUAAGGCAAAUCCGUUGUAUGACAUGUAUUUUUAUACCUUCUAAACGCAAGGGCACCUGUUUAACAAUGUAGGUAUCUCUGCCGGGAGCUACACCUCUCACAAUUAGUUUUACA